rnacentral:rRNA from 1 species
UACGUAGGGGGCAAGCGUUGUCCGGAUUUAUUGGGCGUAAAGCGCGUGUAGGCGGUUUGGUAGGUCCGUUGUGAAAACUCGAGGCUCAACCUCGAGACGCCGGCGGAAACCAUCAGGCUAGAGUCCGGAAGAGGAGAGUGGAAUUCCUGGUGUAGCGGUGAAAUGCGUAGAUAUCAUUUGGAACGCCAAUGGUGAAAACAACUCGCUGGGGAAGUGCUGACGCUGAGACACGAAAGCCAGGGGAGCGAACGGG